AAAACUUUCAACAACGGAUCUCUUGGUUCUGGCAUCGAUGAAGAACGCAGCGAAAUGCGAUAAGUAAUGUGAAUUGCAGAAUUCAGUGAAUCAUCGAAUCUUUGAACGCACAUUGCGCCCCUUGGCAUUCCGAGGGGCAUACCUGUUCGAGCGUCAUUGCACCCCUCAAGCCCUUUGUCAGAGAGGGCUUGGUGUUG
rnacentral:rRNA from 1 species